UGCGGUGUGGCUCAGCGGCAGAGCAGGUGCUUAACCUGUGUGAGGUCCUGGGUUCCAUCCCCAGCACUGCCA
rnacentral:tRNA from 1 species